rnacentral:rRNA from 1 species
GAUGAACGCUGGCGGCGUGCCUAAUACAUGCAAGUCGAGCGAACAGACGAGGAGCUUGCUCCUCUGACGUUAGCGGCGGACGGGUGAGUAACACGUGGAUAACCUCCCUAUAAGACUGGGAUAACUUCGGGACACCGGAGCUAAUACCGGAUAAUAUAUUGAACCGCAUGGUUCAAUAGUGAAAGACGGUUUUGCUGUCUCUUAUAGAUGGAUCCGCGCCGCAUUAGCUAGUUGGUACGGUAACGGCUUACCAAGGCAACGAUGCGUAGCCGACCUGAGAGGGUGAUCGGCCACACUGGAACUGAGACACGGUCCAUACGCCUACGGGAGGCAGCAGUAGGGAAUCUUCCGCAAUGGGCGAAAGCUUGACGGAGCAACGCCGCGUGAGUGAUGAAGGUCUUCGGAUCGGAAAACUCUGUUAUUAGGGAAGAACAAAUGUGUAAGUAACUAUGCACGUCUUGACGGUACCGAAUCAGAAAGCCACGGCUAACUACGUG